AUAGAAAUGAAAGGUACGACGAGAGCUCAAAGCGCCCACACAGUUUGUUUUCAAGAGAAUUGCGACAGCAAAGCAACAGAAAGCCGAAGCAAAAAAUUUUGCAUUUUUUUUGUUGGUCGAUAACGACUGGCAAAAGCUGAGGCAAAAAUUGGGUCUGUAGCUCAGUUGGUUAGAGCGCACCCCUGAUAAGGGUGAGGCCGGUGGUUCAAGUCCACCCAGACCCACCAAUCAGUCGUUUCGGGAUUAUCAAGGCCAAAGAAUUCUCAGUUUAAAGAGGCUGAGAGUGCUUUUGUCUGGAAUAUCCGGAAGUUCAUUAACAAUUUGGUAGAGAAAUAGAGGUAACACAAGCGAAUUAGUAUUGUCCUUGUAGUAUAACCGAUGGCGCUUGGAACGGGGCUAAUGGGUCCUGUUUUGAGAAUCUUUGCAAUGUUUUUUUCGUUAAUCGAUGAAGAGGAGCGAAAAGGGCGCUGUAGGGAGGUGGUUGAGGUUAUAU
rnacentral:misc_RNA from 1 species